GCCUAAGUGGCUCAGUCGGUCGAGCAUCUGACUUCAGCUCAGGUCAUGAUCUCACGGUUCAUGGGUUCGAGCCCCGUGUCAGGCU
rnacentral:tRNA from 1 species